rnacentral:misc_RNA from 1 species
GAUGAAGAACGUAGCGAAAUGCGAUAAGUAGUGUGAAUUGCAGAAUUCAGUGAAUCAUCGAAUCUUUGAACGCACAUUGCGCCCUUUGGUAUUCCAAAGGGCAUGCCUGUUCGAGCGUCAUUUGUACCCUCAAGCUUUGCUUGGUGUUGGGCGUCUUGUCUCUAGCUUUGCUGGAGACUCGCCUUAAAGUAAUUGGCAGCCGGCCUACUGGUUUCGGAGCGCAGCACAAGUCGCACUCUCUAUCAGCAAAGGUCUAGCAUCCAUUAAGCCUUUUUUUCAACUUUUGACCUCGGAUCAGGUAGGGACACCCGCUGAACUAAAGCAUAUCAAUAAGCGGAGGA